GUGAGGAAUAUUGGACAAUGGGCGCAAGCCUGAUCCAGCCAUGCCGCGUGCAGGAAGACGCAUCUAUGGUGUGUAAACUGCUUUUGUACGGGAAGAAACACUCCCUCGUGAGGGAGCUUGACGGUACCGUAAGAAUAAGGAUCGGCUAACUCCGUGCCAGCAGCCGCGGUAAUACGGAGGACACAAGCGUUAUCCGGAAUCAUUGGGUAUAAAGGGUCCGUAGGCGGUUUAAUAAGUCAGUGGUGAAAGCCCAUCGCUCAACGAUGGAACGGCCAUUGAUACUGUUAGACUUGAAUUACAAGGAAGUAAAUAGAAUAUGUAGUGUAGCGGUGAAAUGCUUAGAUAUUACACGGAAUACCAAUUGCGAAGGCAGGUUACUACUUGUGGAUUGACGCUGAUGGACGAAAGCGUGGGGAGCGAACAGGAUUAGAUACCCCGGUAGUCC
rnacentral:rRNA from 1 species